UGAGUAAUGCCUAGGAAUCUGCCUGGUAGUGGGGGACAACGUUUCGAAAGGAACGCUAAUACCGCACACGUCCUACGGGAGAAAGCAGGGGACCUUCGGGCCUUGCGCUAUCAUAUGAACCUAGGUCGGAUUAACUAGUUGGUGGGGUAAUGGCUCACCAAGGCGACCAUCCGUAACUGGUCUGAGAGGAUGAUCAGUCACACUGGAACUGAGACACGGUCCAGACUCCUACCGGAGGCAGCAGUGGGGAAUAUUGGACGAUGGGCGAAAGCCUGAUCCAGCCAUGCCGCGUGUGUGAAGAAGGUCUUCCGAUUGUAAAGCACUUUAAGUUGGGAGGAAGGGCAGUAAGUUAAUACCUUGCUGUUUUGACGUUACCGACGGAAUAAGCACCGGCUAACUCUGUGCCAGCAGCCGC
rnacentral:rRNA from 1 species